UCCCAGUUCGGAUUGUAGUCUGNAACCCGACUACAUGAAGCUGGAAUCGCUAGUAAUCGCGGAUCAGAAUGCCGCGGUGAAUACGUUCCCGGGUCUUGUACACACCGCCCGUCACACCAUGGGAGCCGGGAAUGCCCGAAGUCGGUGACCUAACCUUUAAGGGGGAGCCGCCGAAGGCAGGUCUGGUAACUGGGGUGAAGUCGUAACAAGGUAGC
rnacentral:rRNA from 1 species